UCUGCUAGACUUUUGUCCAAAUGCAGAAAUCGAUAUUUUGUUACCAAUUUUGGUACGAUUUCUCAUAUAAUUGCUUCAUAGCAGAAAUAGUAAAUUACACUGCCGCCUUUAAAAUCAUUGCCCUCUUAAUACGAUAAACGUCAUUAUUUUGUUUUAUCUAACCCGAAUUAUAUAUAAUUAUUCAAUCAAAAUUUAAAUCGAAAUUGGCAAUGCAAUCUCAACAAGAACCUCACCACUAUGGGUACUGUACAAACCAGUUGAAUGACGUCAAAGGGAGUCAAUAAAAUGGAUUGACAGUGAUCAAAACAGAACAAAAUAAAAACAAUGUCAUGAGGCCUAACUGGACACAUUGCAAUAAAAAGAAUUGACACCAACAAAAAAAAAUAGAAGGUUCGCCGUAUGUUCUGGGGUGCCACGGAAAGGGCUUAUGGAUAUGAAGCUAAUGGACACAGAAAUUUAUCAUUUCGGAAAAGAUUAAGUUGGCCUGACGUUGGUUCUAAGAGGAGAAAAUAAAGCUAAAAUUAUAAAAUGGAAUGCCAAUAUUCUAAAUUGAAGCAGAAUUCAACCAAAUAAGUGGAAUUACUUAGGUCCAGCCAAUGUCACCAAAAGUUAAAUGGAAAUUUUUGCAAUAAAAGUGCGGUGGCAAAUAAAAUUCA